UGAAUGGGAGGCUCGCAGCCGUUCGUCCCUCUGUCUUCUCUUCCGGUUAUAGUCAACCGCCCUUCGUCCUUGCAGCCGCCGUAGAUGGGGAGAUCGAUAGUCGGCGAUGCGGAUUGGGGUUUUGUAGCUUCUCUACAACUUCAUUGUACCCAGUGAAGAGAUUUUGAACUUCUAUGACUAGAGGCGGGAGUUGGAGGGCCUGAGUUAUCGAGGGUUAAGCCUUAGAUGCUGAGGUGAGGGGUCUCUCAAGUCUUAUCCUAGCUUCAGGAGGCCCAUAAUGAGAUGGGGAUCCUCAAGGAAAAAGUCACCUAUGAGAAGGCAACGACCGACAUCCAACAGGAAAAGGUCACCGAGCUGGAGGCAGCCGUAGCAGUGUGGAAGGUGUUCGAGGUGGAGCUCGCAGCGAGCAAAGAGGAGACAGCCGAGGAGAAAUUAUCAGUUCCUGAAAUACAAAUCUUUUUGCACCACUGUUCUAUAUCUACAUUUCAAACUUAUUCAUCCCAUUAUCUACGGUUGCUGCUGUGAGUGUAGCAUUCCCCGCAACCCUCCAGGCAUGGGCUCGUAUCUGAAGAUCUGCUUCAUACAUUAGAGAGGAAUUGAUUGAAGGCUUGGAGGGUUAGUUGAUUUCCAAAAUGCACCUUUUAAUGGAUCACUUAUUCGGUCGACCUUUUUGUAGUGCUCAUGGACCAUUCUGGGACCGCUCAUGGUGUACACCUUCUAGGUUAUCCGCAAAGUUGGUGACCUAAACAUGAGCAGAAUAGGAAGAAACUGGAGGAGCAAAAUUUCAGUUGUACAGAUCCACUGCGCAAAUCACUCUAGUGGGAGAAAACGAGCUGUACGGUGGCCUACAUAUGUUUAUUCCUAUGCCCUUUGAAGCUGUCCUCCGUGGGUUGACCAUUGCUUUCCAGCUGACUACAAUUUAUAUAUAUUUCAUGUUCAUUUUCAUAUACAUAUCCACUAUAGUAAUUUUAUGCUGAUGGAGUUACCCUUCUUUCUGGCAUCUACACCAUCUUUACCGGAUUGUCUAUAGCUGGAGCUUUCGAAAUAUAUCGGGAGACUUGUAUUUGAGAAACAAAUGCAGACUGACUUUUAUUACGUGUUUAUUUGUUUUUGUGGACUU